GAUGAACGCUGGCGGCGUGCCUAAUACAUGCAAGUCGAGCGAAUGGAUUAAGAGCUUGCUCUUAUGAAGUUAGCGGCGGACGGGUGAGUAACACGUGGGUAACCUGCCCAUAAGACUGGGGUAACUCCGGGAAACCGGGGCUAAUACCGGAUAACAUUUUGAACCGCAUGGUUCGAAAUUGAAAGGCGGCUUCGGCUGUCACUUAUGGAUGGACCCGCGUCGCAUUAGCUAGUUGGUGAGGUAACGGCUAACCAAGGCAACGAUGCGUAGCCGACCUGAGAGGGGGAUCGGCCAAACUGGGACUGAGGCACGGCCCAGACUCCUACGGGAGGCAGCAGUAGGGAAUCUUCCGCAAUGGACGAAAGGCUGACGGAGCAACGCCGCGUGAGUGAUGAAGGCUUUCGGGUCGUAAAACUCUGUUGUUAGGGAAGAACAAGUGCUAGUUGAAUAAGCUGGCACCUUGACGGUACCUAACCAGAAAGCCACGGCUAACUACGUGCCAGCCGCCGCCGUAA
rnacentral:rRNA from 1 species